AUGAGAAUGUUUGUUUGCUUGGUUUCUCUGCUAAUCUCAGUGCUGGGAGCAGGUGCCUGCUUGGCAGCUCUGGAGUCCUGGACCAUCUCAGAAGAGCUACAGUCAUUUACUUGCUAUGGAUCCUUGAAUCUAAUAGCAGUCCUGUUAUUACGAAGAGCUGGUGAUGGUCUGAGAACCAUAUAUCUUAGAGUUGGAAGAGACUUCAUGAUAUCAUGGUAAGCCACCUGCUUUAGGGCAACUAAGCUACCAUUAUUUCCAUUUACAGGUGAAAUCAUUGAAGACAAUUCCAGCGAUCAAAUAAAGAUAAUACAUUUGGUUAGUAGCAGAUAAUAAUAUCCAACAUUUUAAGUGUUUUCCAUGUGUCAGGCAUUGUUUUUAGUGUAUAGUUCAUUUAAUUUCCAGAACCUUAUGAAGUAGGUAUCAUUAUUAUCCUGUUUUAAAGAAGAGAAAACAGAGACAGAAAGGUUAACUAACUUGCCCAAGGCAGUACUGCUAGUAAGUUAUCAGAACCAGGUAUCUGCACCUUAGUGUAGAUACUACUGUGAACCCAGAAAGUCUGAUUCCCAAGCCUAAAUAUUUAGUCACCAUGUUAUAUCAUUUAGUGGUCAGAAUAAGAAUCAAAUUCUCCUCUCCUGGUGGUUUAGUGAAGUGGUUCCUAGCUAUUUUCAGGGCCUAUGAAUCUCUCUCUAUAUAUAUAUUCCAAGCAUUAUCUGUAGACUAAAAACAUUAAUGUGAUCAACAAAUAUUAUUACAUGAAUAUUAGUGUUUGAGUAAGUAAACUAUAAAUUCCUUCAAAAGCAUUAAUGAAUUGGCUGGACAUGGUGGCUUAUGCCUGUAAUCCCAGCACUUUGGGAGGCCAAGGUGGGUGGAUCACUUGAAGUCAGGAGUUCAAGACCAGCCUGGCCAACAUGGUGAAACCCUGUCUCUACCAAAAAUACAAAAAUUAGCCAGUCGUGGUGGCAGGCACCUGUAAUCCCAGCUACUCGGGAGGCUGAGGCAGGAGAAUCACUUGAACCUGGGAGAUAGAGGUUGUCGUGAGCCAGGAUUGCACCACUGCACUGCAGCCUGGGUGACAGAGACAGACUCUAUCGCAAAAAUAAAUAAAAGCAUUAAUGAAUUAAAAUUGGCUUCUUGUCGUGAUUCAUUUUAUUAAACCAGGGGCUAAAAAAAGAACAACAACCCUUUUGUGGGAGUGUGAAAUAUUUUGAACUAUUUCAGGGGUCCUUAUAUUCAUGAAGAUUGGGAAUCACAGGUGUCUUAGUCAAUUAAGGCAGCUAAAGCAACAUAGGACAGACUGGGUGGUUUACAGAACAAAUAUUUAUUGCUGAUAGUUCUGGAGGCUGGGAAGUCCUGGAUCAAGGAACUGGCAGAUUCAGUGUCUGGUGAGGGCCCCGUUCCUGAUUUGCAGAUGGCUGACUUCUUUUUGUCCUCUAAUGGCAGAGAGACAGAUCACAUCUCUCAUGUCUCUUCUUAUAAGGGCGCUAAUCCCAUCAUUAGGGCUCCACCCGUAAUUACCUCACAAAAUUCUCACCUCUGAAUACCAUCACAUUGGGAUUAGGGUUCCAACGUGUAAAUUUCGGGAAGACACAAACAUUCAGGCCAUAGCAACAGGUAUAGGAAAAAGAGCUGAAUUUGGAGUCAGACAGACUUGGGUUUGCGUCUUGGCUUCUGUUUACUUCCUAGCUGAGAGAUCUUGGGCAAGUCCCUUAAUCAUCUGAGCUUCAGUUUCCUCAUCUGCAAAACGGUUUUUCUACAACUUAUCCACAGUGUUGUUGGGAGUCUCAGAUGUAGCAGUGUGUGUGAGAAUAUUUUGUAAAACAAAAACCCAUAGAAUUCCUUAGGAAUAAGAACUAUAAUGACUAUUAUUCCUCUAUAAUACUCAAGGAAUCAAUUUUAGUCCUGAAUAUGUCCUUAUGUCAAUUUUGCCUGUGGCCUUUUUGUACACCUUUCUUUACCUUUGUCAUUACUGUGAUACCAAGCUGAGGAAAUAGGUCAAUUUACAAGAAAAUAAUAUCCAUCCCUGGCAUGAGUUGUCUCCACUUUCCAGUCAUGCCUGGAAUAGCACAUCCUUUGUAAGAUGAGGACUUUGGGUGGUAAAGAGGAAAAGAAGAUGGCAUUUCAGCUCUUCUGUAGCUUUGACUUCAUCCAACCACUUUGAGUAGAUCAAAGCUAUUCUGGGAGGCCCGACAUCAUGUUUUUUUUCUAGGCUGAGAACUAGAGAUGGAAGAAUGUAGCCCAGCCAAAGAAAGGAACUGUUCUGUCUUUCUCCCACAUUUCUCUCCUUUCCCAGCCUUCCAAUCUCUGUUGGGGGCACUAUUUUUUGAAGCAGAAACCUACAAAAGGACAGACAAGAUCCAUCGUUGGCCUUCUGAGUGGCAUGGAAACGUUCUGGGGCCUAUUUUGUGCAGAUAACAUGGUGAAGUAGCCAGCCAGGAUACUCCUGUCAGUGGAUCCAAGGGCUUCAGUGGAAUUGUGUCUGAACAGCAGGGACAAGCUUGAGGGAACCUCAGUUACAGCCCUAGUCUGAC
ensembl:lincRNA